rnacentral:tRNA from 1 species
GCACUAUUACCAUAGGUUGCAAGAAAUUAGCAAAGGAUACUAAAAAUAUUAAUCCUGACUCUUAAUCAGGGUGUCCAGGGUUCGAGCCCCUGAUGGUGUACCA